GACGAACGCUGGCGGCGUGCUUAACACAUGCAAGUGGAGCGACGAACCGGGGGCUUGCCCCGGGGCAGAGCCGCGAACGGGUGAGUAACACGUGGGUAACCCACCCCGACUGACCGGGACAACCCGAGGAAACUCGGGCUAAUACCGGAUGUGCUCCUUGACCUCGAGGUCAAGGCGUAAAGAUAGCUUCGGCCUUCGCAUCGGGACGGGCCCGCGGCCCAUUAGCUUGUUGGUGGGGUAACGGCCUACCAAGGCGACGANGGGUAGCUGGUCUGAGAGGACGAUCAGCCACACUGGGACUGAGACACGGCCCAGACUCCUACGGGAGGCAGCAGUGGGGAAUCUUGCGCAAUGCGCGAAAGCGUGACGCA
rnacentral:rRNA from 1 species